rnacentral:lncRNA from 1 species
GUCUAUUUUCCAUCAUAUUAAUCUUCCAAUACUUAGUUAUUUCCUUUGUCAUUUAUUUUACUUGCAUCUUUAUUUCUCUUUAUCAUAAAAAUACCAAAAAUAUUAUCUUAUCAUAUCUAUCAGAUCUCACUCUCGUAGGUGACUGUGAAGGGAUUGACAACCCCUUUAUCGCGUUGGUUGCGAGGAGUUUAUUUGUUUGUGUAGGUGUGAGGGACUCGUGCGUGGCCUCCUACUGGAUUGAUACCUUGGUUCUCAAAAACUGAGGGAAAUACUUAUGCUGCUCUGCUGCAUCACCCUUUCCUCUUCAAGGGAAAACCAACGCAGUGCUCAAGAGGUAGCAAGAAGGAUUUCUAGCGCCGUUGUCGGGGAGUCUACGCAAAAGUCAACAUACCAAGUACCCAUCACAAACCCUUGUCUCCCGCAUUACAUUAUUUUCCAUUUGCCUCUCGUUUUCCUCUCCCCCCACUUCACCCUUGCUGUUUUAUUCGCCCUCUCUCUCUCCAUCCUCCCUCUCUUUCUCUAUUCGCCUCUUUUUGCCCGUUUCUUGUUUGCUUGUAUGUUGGUUUGCUUUCUUGUCGUUAUGGCUAGUCCCCUAUCUUCUCCGUUGUCUCUCGAAAAUGAAGUUCUUAAUUUUAAUCAAAGGGAAGGAGAAAACCUAAAAGACGCUUGGUAUAGAAUUUGCAAUGCUCAAAAUAGAUCUACCAGGAAGCAAUCUACUUCUAUUCUUCUUAGCAAUUUUUAUGUAGGUGCUACUCCUUGGCACAGAUAUGUCCUUGAUACCAUUACCGGAGGGAACUUCUUGGGUAGCCACACUUUUGAUUCCUAUAAUGCUAUGAUAGAUUUGUUUGGCUCACCCCAUCUUUUGCUUAAUGGAACUAUGUUAACUUUGGAGAAUGUAAUGCAAAAACUUGAAAUUAUUGAAAAGAAAGUUGCUACUGUAGAGUUAAUUGAAAAUUUCAAUAAAAAGAUCCACAACCAAAUUACUCAAUAUGCAUCUAAAGUAGGAGUCACUUUGAAAAAUAUUAAGGAGAAGGAACCCAUAGUUAAUGAAAGAAUAAAUCAUGAUUCCACUAGAAUCGAUAAACUUGAGGGUAUCAUUACCAACUUGGGAACCGCUUUUUCUUCCGUAAAGAAUACCCCAAUUCCUCCAACUAAAAUUGCCAAGCUUAUGUAUGUUCCUAAAAAUAGGGGUGAAUCCUCUAGCAAAGAAACUGCGGAUCUCAAAUCUAUAAGUAUUCAUCCUAAUCUUUUUACUAUCAUUGAGGAACCAUUUGCUACUAAUGAUUUUUUUGAUUUUGUGCCUAGAAGUUUGAUUAUUGAUAAAAGGAAAGAAACUCCUAAAGGUGAUAGAUGUCUCAUUAAAUAAUUACCAACUAAAUAUACCUAGAUCUAUCUUCGCUUAUAUGCCUAGCUAGGGGCGUUAAACGAUAGCGCUUGUUGGGAGGCAACCCAAUUUUAUUUUUAUUACUUGCUUUUUGCUCCUGUUUAGUAAUAAAUAAUUUAUCUAUCCUAUGUUUUGGUUGUGUUUUUUGUGUUUAAUUAGUGUUUGUUCCAAGUAGAACCGUUGGGAAGACUUGGGGAAAGUCUUUUUAAUCUUGCUGUAAAAAACAGAAACUUUAGCACUCACGAGAACUGCUGCCAUUUUUAUUUGGAAAGUGUUAUUUAGUUAAUUAUUUUUGAAGAUGAUUAAUAGAUAAAUUCCUCACGUCCAGCAAUUUAUUUUAGAAUUUUUGGGGUUCCAGAUCUUGCGUUAGCUACAGAUUAUUGCAGACUGUUCUGUUUUUGACAGAUUCUGUUUUCCGUGUGUUGUUUGCUUAUUUUAAUGAAUCCAUGGCUAGUAAAAUAGUUUAUAAACCAUAGAGAAGUUGGAAUACAGUAGGUUUAACACCAACAUAAAUAAAUAAUGAGUUCAUUACAGUACCUUGAAGUGGUGUUUUCUUUUCUUUCUCUAACAGAGCUCACGAUAUUUUCUACUUUAAGUUUUGUAUUGUGAAGUUUUCAAGUUUUGGGUAAAAGAUUUGAUGGAUUAUGGAACAAGGAGUGGCAAGAGCCUAAGCUUGGGGAUGCCCAUGGCACCCCAAGAUAAUCUAAGGACACCUAAAAUCCAAAGCUUGGGGAUGUCCCGGAAGGCAUCCCCUCCUUCGUCUACUUCUAUCGGUAACUUUACUUGGAGCUAUAUUUUUAUUUACCACAUGAUAUGUGUUUUUCUUGGAGCGUCUUGUGUUAUUUGAGCCUUUAUUUGUUAGUUUUCCACAAUCAUCAUUGCUGCACACACGUUUUUGAGAGAGACACUCAUGAUUCAGAAAUUGUUAGAAUACUCUAUGUGCUUCACUUAUAUCUUUUGAGUUAUAUAGUUUUUGCUCUAGUGCUUCACUUAUAUCUUUUAGAGCACGUUGGUAGAUUUUUUUUAUAGAAACCAUUGUUCUCUCAUGCUUCACUUAGAUUAUUUUGAGAGUCCUACAAAACAGCAUGGUAAUUUUCUUUAAUUAUGUUAGGCAUUCAAGAUUAAUAAUAAAAUUUUCUUAUGAGUGUGUUGAAUACUAUGAUAAGUUUGAAAAUUGAUAAUUGUUUUGAGAUAUGGAGACGGUGAUAUUAGAGUCGUGCUAGUUGAUUAGUUGUGAAUUUGAGAAAUGCUUGUGUUGAAGUUUGUGAUUCCCGUAGCAUGCACGUAUGGUGAACCGUUAUGUUAAGAAGUCAGAGCAUGAUGUAUUUACUGAUUGUCCUCCUUAUGAGUGACAGUCGGGGAUGAGCGAUGGUCUUUUCCUACCAAUCUAUCCCCCUAGGAGCAUGCACGUAGUACUUUGCUUCGAUAACUAAUAGAUUUUUGUAAUAAGUAUGUGAGUUCUUUAUGACUAAUGUUGAGUCCAUGGAUUAUACGCACUCUCACCCUUCCACCAUUUCUAGCCUCUCUAAUACCGCGCACCUUUCGCCGAUAUCAUACACCCACCAUAUACCUUCCUCAAAAUAGCCACCAUACCCACCUAUCGUGGCAUUUCCAUAGCCAUUCCAAGAUAUAUUGCCAUGCAACUUCCCACCAUUCCGUUUACUAUGACACGCUCCAUCAUUGUCAUAUUGCUUCGCAUGAUCAUGUAGUUGACAUUUUAGUUGUGGCAAAGCCACCGUUCAUAAUUCUUUCAUAUAAGUCACUCAUGCAUCAUUGCUAUCCCGGUAUACCGCCGGAGGCAUUCAUAUAGAGUCAUACUUUGUUCUAGUAUCGAGUUGUAAUCAUUGAGUUGUAAACAAAUAGAAGUGUGAUGAUCAUCAUUCAUAGAGUAUUGUCCUAAUAAAAAAAGAAAAAAGAAAGGCCAAAAAAAGAAGGCCCAAAAAAGGGAGUAAAUAAAUAAAAAGGGGCAAUACUACUAUCCUUUUUUCCACACGUGUGCUUCAAAGUAGCACCAUGAUCUUCAUGACAGAGAGUCUUCUAUGUUAUCACUUUCAUAUACUAGUGGGAAUUUUUCAUUAUAGAACUUGGCUUGUAUAUUCCAACGAUGGGCUUCCUCAAAUGCCCUAGGUCUUCGUGAGCAAGCAAGUUGGAUGCACACCCACUUAGUUUCUUUUGUUGAGCUUUCAUACAUUUAUAGCUCUAGUGCAUCCAUUGCAUGGCAAUCCCUACUCACUCACAGUGAUAUCUAUUGAUGGGCAUCUCCAUAGCCCAUUGAUACGCCUAGUUGAUGUGAGACUAUCUUCUCCCUUUUUGUCUUCUCCACAACCACCAUUCUAUUCCACAUAGUGCUGUGUCCAUGGCUCACGCUCAUGUAUUGUGUGAAGAUUGAAAAAGUUUGAGAACACCAAAAGUAUGAAACAAUUGCUUGGCUUGUCAUCGGGGUUGUGCAUGAUUUGAAUACUUUGUGUGGUGAAGAUGGAGCAUAGCCAGACUAUAUGAUUUUGUAGGGAUAACUUUCUUUGGCCAUGUUAUUUUGAAGAAACAUAAUUGCUUAGUUAGUAUGCUUGAAGUAUUAUUAUUUCUAUGUCAAUAUUGAACUUUUUUCUUGAAUCUUUCGGAUAUGAAUAUUCAUACCACAAUUAAUAGAAUUACAUUGAAAUUAUGCCAAGUAGCAUUCCACAUCAAAAAUUCUGUUUUUAUCAUUUACCUACUCGAGGACGAGCAGGAAUUAAGCUUGGGGAUGCUUGAUACGUCUCCAACGUAUCUAUAAUUUUUGAUUGUUCCAUGCUAUAUUAUAUCCUGUUUUGGACAUUAUUGGGCUUUAUUAUACACUUUUAUAUUAUUUUUGGGACUAACCUAUUAACCGGAGGCCCAACCCAGAAUUGCUGUUUUUUGCAUAUUUGAGAGUUUCGCAGAAAAAGAAUAUCAAACGGAGUUCAAACGGAAUGAAACCUUCGGGAACGUGAUUUUCAGAAAGAACAUGAUCCAGAGGACUUGGACCCUACGUCAAGUAAUCAACCAGGAAGGCACGAGGUAGGGGACGCACCUACCCCCCCAGGCGCGCCCUCCACCCUCGUGGGGCCCAUGUUGCUCCACCGACGUACUCCUUCCUCCUAUAUAUACCUACGUACCCCCAAACUACCAGAUACAGAACCAAAACCCUAAUUCCACCAUCGUAACUUUCUGUAUCCACGAGAUCCCAUCUUGGGGCCUUUUCCGGAGCUCCGCCGGAGGGGGUAUCGAUCACGGAGGGCUUCUACAUCAACACCAUAGCCUCUCCGAUGAAGUGUGAGUAGUUUACUUCAGACCUACGUGUCCAUAGUUAUUAGCUAGAUGUCUUCUUCUCUCUUUUUGGAUCUCAAUACAAAGUUCUCCCCCUCUCUUGUGGAGAUCUAUUCGAUGUAAUCUUCUUUUGCGGUGUGUUUGUUGAGAUCGAUGAAUUGUGGGUUUAUGAUCAAGUUUAUCUAUGAACAAUAUUUGAAUCUUCUCUGAAUUCUUUUAUGUAUGAUUGGUUAUCUUUGCAAGCCUCUUCGAAUUAUCAGCUUGGUUUGGCCUACUAGAUUGAUCUUUCUUGCAAUGGGAGAAGUGCUUAGCUUUGGGUUCAAUCUUGCGGUGUCCUUUCCCAGUGACAGUAGGGGUAGCAAGGCACAUAUUGUAUUGUGGCCAUCGAGGAUAACAAGAUGGGGUUUAUAUCAUAUUGCAUGAGUUUAUCCCUCUACAUCAUGUCAUCUUGCUUAAAGCGUUACUCUAUUCUCUUGAACUUAUACUCUAGAUGCAUGCUGGAUAGCGGUCGAUGUGUGGAGUAAUAGUAGUAGAUGCAGGCAGGAGUCGGUCUACUUGUCUCGGACGUGAUGCCUAUAUACAUGAUCAUACCUAGAUAUUCUCAUAACUAUGCUCAAUUCUGUCAAUUGCUCAACAGUAAUUUGUUCACCCACCAUAAUGCUUAUGCUCUCGAGAGAAGCCUCUAGUGAAACCUAUGGCCCCCGGGUCUAUUUUCCAUCAUAUUAAUCUUUCCAAUACUUAAUUAUUUCCUUUGUCAUCUAUUUUACUUGCAUCUUUAUUUCUCUUUAUCAUAAAAAUACCAAAAAUAUUAUAUUAUCAUAUCUAUCAGAUCUCACUCUCGUAGGUGACCGUGAAGGGAUUGACAAUCCCUUUAUCGCAUUGGUUGCGAGGAGUUUAUUUGUUUGUGUAGGUGCGAGGGACUCGUGCGU